AGCCAGCAGUUACAGGACUCACUCAGCACUCACACAAACUGAAGGGCCCGGUCUCACUCCUACCGUGCCCCCCACAACAGCCCUGAGUCUGUUUCCAGGUGGUGGGCGAGAGGGGUUUGAAAAUUUGCCCCAGGCUAUCCGCCUCCCAGCUGGGCAAGAAAAGGGCGUGGUUGUUCCCCCACUGAGGAGUCUGCACACCGGAUUUGCAUCUUCCCCUGAGUUCUGGCCUGGAGGCUUCUCGCCCCUGCAAAUUGUUACAAAGUUCAGCUAGAGGGUUCCUUCUUCCUGUGGAGUUUUACCUUCUGCUCCUCUGGCCACCCUCCUGAUGGAUCCCUGUGGUGCCAGGCAGGAAUGACCUGCUUAAGGACCCAGCGAGCUCCCAGGACCUUUCUGCUGCUUCCUCUACCCGUAUAUUUUGCUUGCUUCUCUACAUUGACUCAGCUCCAGCGAUUCCUGAGGAAUCUCAUCCACACUACCCUAUGGACUAAAAGGAAAAGCUCUUCAUGUGGUGUUAGCACGGAGAUGAGAAAGAGAGAAAGACAACAUCAUGCUUUGCUGUCUGUGUGUGAACUGAGUAACAGCUGUGAAGGAUCAGUCACCAAAAGACUUUGAAAGAAGAGGCUUGAUUGGUCACGGCCAUGGAAGUUUAAUUGGGAGAAAAGAACAUCUGCUUAUACGAAAACAUAUUAUAUUCAGCCAUCCCUGCCCUGACUUUGGCCUUUAAAAACAGUGGCAUUAAUUAUCUCAACAAAUGAAUCUUCGGGAUAAAAAUAAUCUAAAUAUUAUUUUACGCUUACUACAUAUUUGCAACGUGCUAAGCUCUUUAUGGUUGCUACCACAAAAAACAUUUAUAAUAUGAGGUUGUUUCCGUAUUUUGGCUAUUGUGAAUAGUGCUGCAAUAAACAUGGAAGUGCUGAUAUAUCUUUGAGAUCUUGACUUCAAACAAAAGAAGAAAAUCUUGCAAUAUAUGACAACACGGAUUAACCUGGAGGACAUUGUGCUUAGUGAAGUUAGCCAGUCACAGACUGACAAGUACUGCACGAUUCCACUUAUGAAGACUACAGUUCCUAUCUUCACAGGUGGCUGUUAGCUCUAAAUGAACUCAUUUAUUUUGAAAGCAUGAUUUAAAGUAUAGUUUUAAACUAUAAGCAUUUCAGAAGUGAUGACCCAUGACUCAAAUCUCAAAAAUAAAUGCUACAGUUCACAGUUGGAAUAUGGACACAAGAAAAAUAAUAGGUGAGUAAAAAAAGAAUUUUUACCACAGAACAAAAGUUUAUUAAACACAAUUAUGAAUGAAUAUUAAUGUCAACAGAGUGCUUUUUAGAUGCCUCCUAAGCUUUGUAUGCACCUAAAAGAGAUACAAGUCAGCUCAGCUGCUAAGGAAUAGGCAGACCAGAAUGCAGUCAGAGAAAUAAACAGUUGAACAGAUAAUUCCAAAAGGAUGUGAUAAGUGUUAUGGGGGGAAUUCGGAGAAAGUGCCGAGGCAUCACACAGGAGAGACCAGCUGUCCCUGGCAUAGCUGGUGGAGAUCUUAUUAAAC
rnacentral:lncRNA from 1 species